AUCUCGGGUUUGGGGUUAGGGUUAGUGGAAAGGCCACGAGGAGCCGCGGGGGCUCAGGAGCCGGUGGUGGGCGUCUGAGGAGAAGUCGCCCCACGAGGAAGCUCUUCAGCUUCGGGAGACGCCUGGGCCGGGCGGUCCUGGGCUCCAUCGGCCACGAGUACGCGGGUCCCGGGUACCACACCAGCGACGCGGAACUGCGGAAGAUCCACAGGGCGGCCCUCAAGGGCGACGCCGCGGAGGUGGAGCGCCGCCUGGCGCGCAGGUGCCGGGACGUGGAAGCCCAGGACAGGAAGAGACGUGUUCCAUUAUUCUGCUGGAACAUGGCACCAAUCCAAACAUUAAGGACGUCUACAGCAACACUGCUCUUCAUGAUGGUAAACAUUGAGGAUGUCUACGGCAACACUGCUCUUCAUGAUGCUGUGUAUGAUAAGGGGACUUCACUGGCAGGAAGCCUGCUUUCCCACCAUGCAAAUACUGAAGCACUAAACAAGAACACGACUUAA
rnacentral:lncRNA from 1 species